AAGUAGCUUCCUGCCAAACCCGUC
rnacentral:siRNA from 1 species